UACGAAGGUCCCAAGCGUUAUCCGGAUUUAUUGGGUUUAAAGGGCGCGUAGGCGGGUGCUCAAGUCCGUGGUGAAAUCCUCCGGCUCAACCGGAGAACUGCCUCGGAUACUGGGAGGCUUGAGUAUGGGAGAGGGAUGUAGAAUUCCAGGUGUAGCGGUGAAAUGCGUAGAUAUCUGGAGGAAUACCGGUGGCGAAGGCGGCAUCCUGGACCAUUACUGACGCUGAGGCGCGAAAGCUAGGGGAGCAAACGGG
rnacentral:rRNA from 1 species